UCUUUGGUUUCAUGUCUACUGCUGACUCACUCAUUUUAAUGACAAUUCAGAAAAUAGUAUCUUCAGGAUAUUUCUAUGUUAGCAACAAACAAUUAUUGAUAAGUCUAUAUAGUUACAUUUUUAUACCUGCUUCACUCAAGAAGCAGUUGUAGUGAAACAUAAAAAUAUGGAAUAUGAUAUUUCUGGUAUCCUAAAAUAAAUUAGAAUGAAUAGAUAUAGCCUGUAUUACCUAAGAGACACAUUAAUUUUAAACUUGUUUCCGUAUUAAAUCUUUAUUAUCUUUGCUCUAUGUUAUACAGUGAAUGAAAAGUACACACUGGGGAAAUAUGGAAAAUAUCCUGAGUAGUACAAUUCGUCUUGCAGCAAAACAUUAUGAUCAUUGUUAUAAUACAUGUGCAGAGCUAAAGCCAUUAAUUAAAGUUUAUGAUUCUAGUUUUAAAAAUUCAAAGAAGCAACUUAUACUUCCUUGAAAGUGUAAAAGCAUGUUAAUAGCCUAUUUACUUCGCAAAAAAAUCAAUAACAGAAUCUGGCCCCAUUACAAAAUUCAAGAGGUACUAUACUUAAAAAAAAAAUCUAUUAGUUAAGCAAAUUCCAUUACUUGAAUGUGUUCCAAAUAAAGAAGUUAAUAUUGAUGAGAGACAGAACAAAUUAAAGUAUAUUUAAAAACUCAUAAAAAUAUAAAUUAAAAUAUUGAAAAUAACAGGAAAGAAAGUCUAUGAAUAUUUUGGAAAUUGUCAUUAGGGAAAAGAGUGGCAAUCCUUGUAUUAGUGUUCUAUUUCUGUAAGCAACUACCAUAAACUUAAAGGCUUAAAACAAAAUGCAUUUAUUAUCUCACAGUGUUUUUGGGUCAGGAGCCUGGGAAAAGGUUUUCUGUGUCCUCAGAUCAGGGUUUCACAUGGCAGCAAUUAAAGUGUCAGCUGGGCUGCAUUCUCAUCUGGAGAGUUAAUUGGGGAAGAAUCCGCUUGCAAGCUUAUUCAGGUUGUGGGCAGAAUUCAUUUCUUUCAGCUUUAUGACUGAAGGCCCCUUUUUCUUUUUUGAGACAGAGUCUAGCUCUGUCACCCAGGCUGGAGUACAGUCGUGCAAUCUUGGUUCACUGCAACCUCCACUUCCCAGGUUCAAAUUAUUCUCCUGCCUCAGCCUCCCAAGUAGCUGGAAUUACAGGUGCCCACCACCACACCCCAAAUUAUACAAAAUUAUACAAAAAUAUAAUUUUUGUAUGUUUAGUAAAGACAGAGUUUCGCCAUGUUGGCCAGGCUGGUCUCAAACUCCUGACCUCAGGUGAUCCGCCCACCUCAGCCUCUUAAAGUGCUGGGAUUACAUGUGUGAGCCCACCUCAUCCAUGAAGGCCCCAUAUUCUUACUGUCUGUCAGGUAGAGGCCACCCUGAUGUCUUUAAAGGUCACUCACAGGUCCUUGCCAUAAACCUCUCACAACAUGGGGCAGCUUACUUUUUCAAAGUCAGUGGAAGAAUCUCUCCUACCAGCCUGUUAGACAUUGUCUUAUAUAAUAAACAUAAUUGGAGCAGUGGCAUCUUAUCACAUCUUCCAUGUAUUAAUAGUAUAACCUACUCAAAGGAGUUAUACCCCCAUUCUUUUGGUUAAAAGUGAGUCACCCACUUCUGCACACAAGAGAAGAUUAUACAAGGGUGUGACUCAUUGGGAAUCACUGGAGGGUGUGUUUGCCAUAGUCCCUAGCAUUUAUCAUGAAUGCCUCCUUUCUGCAGGGUGCAUUAACACUAGACGGUGAUCUCUCUACCACUCUCUGGAACAAACGCAAACUUUAAAAGAUGGUCCCCAUGUCCACUUCUGAAAGAAGGAAGUGUAGGCUUAAAUAAUCAGCAACUAUUUUGCAUUUUAAUGUGGCUGUGUUUUAAUAAUUAGUAGUUAGAAUCCAGAACAUGUGAGAGACAUACUUCAUAUCUCACCUUUUAAAAGGUGGAAAUUAAAAAGAGGACAUAUUUCAAUGAAGGGGAAUCUAUGAAGGGGAAUGUUGUGAGGGAGAUGCAAGAAUAGAAAAUAAAGCUCAACAAAAAUAGUAACAAAAUCUCCUAAAGAAAUUUUCAGAGGAAGUUUGAUUUUGUAAAAUUGAAUUUGAAGGAUUUCAAAGAGCAAUUUAAAAGAUCCUUACAAGUUUAAGAAAAAUUGAGACAAAACAAAAAUGCUGGUAUCUACAAACUUUUAAAGAGAGCAGGAAUUUGUCCCCCAAGGAAGGAUAUGCAACAGUUACUGAGGAAGGCUUUAAGUGACCUGUUCAAUGGGAGAAGGAAAGAAAAAGCAAAAGAAUCCUGAUGGUAAGGAUAAAGAUUUCCCCAAGAUAGCAGAAGUAUUUCAAAGAAUAAAACAUAAAAAUAGAGACAGUGAAACAGGAGAUGGUUAAACAAGCAACAGUUGAAAAUUAGGUUAAAAAAAUUGGUAAAAGACCUCUGUAGAUAACAUUCAAUUGGGUUUUUUUUUUGACAUUUGAGAGUUUUAGUUACGUUAAUAUAUGUAAGGCAUAACAUAAUUCAUUAAUUUAAAAUGAGAAUAAAGUAAUAAAUGUGAGAACACUUUGAUAAAAAUAUACAACUACAAAGUGUAUUAUAUUUUGCAUUCAUUAAGAUGCUUGUCUUGCUAUUGUUUUUGUCGAUAAUAAUGUGAUGAUGUAGUUUAUUGACAAUAGUGAGGUAUGCAUAUUUAAGUAUACUUGCCAUUGAUGUCAAAGUCAAUAAAAACUUAAUUGUUCUAUUAUAAUUCUUGAAUAAUCUUUCUUUGUGUAUGUUUAGUUAUGCACUUUAAGUUUUUUUUCUCAAAAAAGUACACUAAUUUCAAUUAGUCAUUUUUUAAAACUAUUUUUUGGGCUGGGUGCAGUGGCUCAUGCUUGUAAUGCCAGUUUGGGAGGCAGAGGUGAGAGGGUAGCUUCAGUCCAGGAUUUUGAGAACAGCCUAGGCAAUAUGGCAAGACCUCACAUCUACAAAAUAUGAAAAAGUAAGUUGGGCAUGGUGGUACGCACCUAUAGUCCCAGCUGCUUGGGAGACUGAGGCAGGAAGAUCACUUGAGCCUGGGAAGUCAAGGCUGCAAUGAGCCAUGAUCAUGCCACUGUACCCCAACCUGGGUGACAGAGCGAGACACUAUCUCCAAAAAAAAGAAAAAAACAACUGUUUUUGGCCAUCCACAAAAAUGAAACUCUACAACCAUAAUCUCAUUAAUUUUCACAUAAUUCCAGGGAGGUUAUCUAGCGUAAUUUAUUAUAUCCUUUUUUUAUCUUAGGAAAAUCAAUGAAGGAUAAUUAGUAUAAGUAAUCUAUGCCUAUGAACAGUACCUCUGGCUGGAGCAAAGGAACUAGUUCAUCUAGAUGGUCAUUUGAAAAUUCAAUAUUUAAAAAUUCAACUAACCGGCUGGGUGCGGUGGCUUACAC
rnacentral:lncRNA from 1 species